AUUGAACGCUGGCGGCAUGCUUUACACAUGCAAGUCGGACGGCAGCACAGAGAAGCUUGCUUCUUGGGUGGCGAGUGGCGAACGGGUGAGUAACAUAUCGGAACGUACCGAGCAGUGGGGGAUAACUAAUCGAAAGAUUAGCUAAUACCGCAUAUCUUCUGAGGAAGAAAGCAGGGGACCAUUUGGCCUUGCGCUGUUUGAGCGGCCGAUAUCUGAUUAGCUAGUUGGUGGGGUAAAGGCCUACCAAGGCGACGAUCAGUAGCGGGUCUGAGAGGAUGAUCCGCCACACUGGGACUGAGACACGGCCCAGACCCCUACGGGAGGCAGCAGUGGGGAAUUUUGGACAAUGGGCGCAAGCCUGAUCCAGCCAUGCCGCGUGUCUGAAGAAGGCCUUCGGGUUGUAAAGGACUUUUGUCAGGGAAGAAAAGGGCGGGGUUAAUACCCCUGUCUGAUGACGGUACCUGAAGAAUAAGCACCGGCUAACUACGUG
rnacentral:rRNA from 1 species